rnacentral:misc_RNA from 1 species
GCAUCAUAUAAAAGGUAUAGCAUUUGUAAUAAUGCUACAUCCAUUGAUGAGUUGGGCAAAUGCCUACAUAUUACAAAAAUAAAAAUUGCAGGGCACAACCGAUCAAAAAUAAAAAUACAAGGGUGCUACAGGUUAAAUUGAACGUCAAGGUUGCAACAGAGUUUUCUCAAUUAGUUUGGGGACAAAUUUAUAAUUUGGCCUUUCAUUCAAUGUCGACAGAAUAAUCAAAGUACCAUGAACAGAUUCACAUCAAAAUAUGCCUAAAUUAAGGUGCUUUACCAUGGUAGUUCCCCAGAACCAUAAUACAAAAGUAACAAAACCACUUAAGAUAAAGGUUUAACCAGCACCUCAUUCAUUUGAAUAUAUUUGUGUGUGUGUGUGUGU